AUUGAACGCUGGCGGCAUGCCUUACACAUGCAAGUCGAACGGCAGCACGGGUGCUUGUACCUGGUGGCGAGUGGCGAACGGGUGAGUAAUACAUCGGAACAUGUCCUGUAGUGGGGGAUAGCCCGGCGAAAGCCGGAUUAAUACCGCAUACGAUCUACGGAUGAAAGCGGGGGACCUUCGGGCCUCGCGCUAUAGGGUUGGCCGAUGGCUGAUUAGCUAGUUGGUGGGGUAAAGGCCUACCAAGGCGACGAUCAGUAGCUGGUCUGAGAGGACGACCAGCCACACUGGGACUGAGACACGGCCCAGACUCCUACGGGAGGCAGCAGUGGGGAAUUUUGGACAAUGGGCGAAAGCCUGAUCCAGCAAUGCCGCGUGUGUGAAGAAGGCCUUCGGGUUGUAAAGCACUUUUGUCCGGAAAGAAAUCCUUGGCUCUAAUACAGUCGGGGGAUGACGGUACCGGAAGAAUAAGCACCGGCUAACUACGUG
rnacentral:rRNA from 1 species